UACGUAGGGUGCAAGCGUUGUCCGGAAUUAUUGGGCGUAAAGAGCUCGUAGGCGGUUUGUCGCGUCGAAUGUGAAAACCCGGGGCUCAACCCCGGGCCUGCAUUCGAUACGGGCAGACUAGAGUUCGGUAGGGGAGACUGGAAUUCCUGGUGUAGCGGUGAAAUGCGCAGAUAUCAGGAGGAACACCGGUGGCGAAGGCGGGACUCUGGGCCGAUACUGACGCUGAGGAGCGAAAGCGUGGGGAGCAAACAGG
rnacentral:rRNA from 1 species